AUUGAACGCUGGCGGCAGGCCUAACACAUGCAAGUCGAGCGGAUGAAGGGAGCUUGCUCCUGGAUUCAGCGGCGGACGGGUGAGUAAUGCCUAGGAAUCUGCCUGGUAGUGGGGGAUAACGUCCGGAAACGGGCGCUAAUACCGCAUACGUCCUGAGGGAGAAAGUGGGGGAUCUUCGGACCUCACGCUAUCAGAUGAGCCUAGGUCGGAUUAGCUAGUUGGUGGGGUAAAGGCCUACCAAGGCGACGAUCCGUAACUGGUCUGAGAGGAUGAUCAGUCAACAUGGAACUGGGAAACGGUCCAGAAUCCAACGGGAGGCAGAGGGGGGGAAAAUGGGAAAAGGGGCGAAAGCCUGAACCAGCCAUGCCGGGGGGGUGAAGAAGGCUUUCGGAUUGUAAAGCACUUUAAGGGGGGAGGAAGGGCAGUAAGUUAAUACCUUGCUGUUUUGACGUUACAAACAGAAUAAGCACCGGCAAAUUUCGU
rnacentral:rRNA from 1 species